rnacentral:rRNA from 1 species
CCUACGGGUGGCAGCAGUGAGGAAUAUUGGUCAAUGGGCGCGAGCCUGAACCAGCCAAGGCGCGUGAGGGAAGACGGGCCGAUGGAUUGUAAACCUCUUUUGUCGGGGAGCAAAAGACGCCACGCGUGGCUUUCCGAGAGUACUCUAAGAAUAAGCAUCGGCUAACUCCGUGCCAGCAGCCGCGGUAAUACGGAGGAUCCGAGCGUUAUCCGGAUUUAUUGGGUUUAAAGGGUGCGGAGGCGGAAGAUUAAGUCAGCGGUAAAAUUGAGAGGCUCAACCUCUUCGAGCCGUUGAAACUGGUUUUCUUGAGUGAGUGAGAAGUAUGAGGAAUGCGUGGUGUAGCGGUGAAAUGCAUAGAUAUCACGCAGAACUCCGAUUGCGAAGGCAGCAUACCGGCGCUCAACUGACGCUCAUGCACGAAAGUGUGGGUAUCGAACAGGAUUAGAUACCCGUGUAGUC